rnacentral:rRNA from 1 species
UAGGGAAUCUUCCGCAAUGGACGCAAGUCUGACGGAGCAACGCCGCGUGAGUGAAGAAGGAUUUCGGUUCGUAAAACUCUGUUGUUAGAGAAGAACAGCGCAUCGAGUAACUGGUAUGCGUGUGACGGUAUCUAACCAGAAAGCCACGGCUAACUACGUGCCAGCAGCCGCGGUAAUACGUAGGUGGCAAGCGUUGUCCGGAUUUAGUGGGCGUAAAGCGAGCGCAGGCGGUCAAUCAAGUCAGAUGUGAAACCCCCUGGCUCAACUGGGGGGGGGCAUAGGAAACUGGUUUGCUUGAGUGCAGAAGAGGAGAGCGGAAUUCCAUGUGUAGCGGUGAAAUGCGUAGAUAUAAGGAGGAACACCAGUGGCGAAGGCGACUUUCUGGACUGUAACUGACGCUGAGGCACGAAAGCGUGGGUAGCAAACAGG